rnacentral:rRNA from 1 species
AGCCGGCGACCGGCGCACGGGUGAGUAACACGUAUGCAACCUGGCCGUGACAGAUGGAUAACCGGGAGAAAUCCCGCCUAAUACAACAUAAUGCCGGGAGGGGACAUCCCCUGCCGGCCAAAGGGGCGACCCCGGUCACGGAUGGGCAUGCGGCGCAUUAGGUAGUUGGUGGGGCAACGGCCCACCAAGCCGACGAUGCGUAGGGGUUCUGAGAGGAAGGUCCCCCACAUUGGAACUGAGACACGGUCCAAACUCCUACGGAAGGCAGCAG